rnacentral:rRNA from 1 species
UAAGCGGAGGGAAAGAAACUAACAAGGAUUGCCUUAGUAGCGGCGAGUGAACCGGCAAAAGCUCAAAAUGAAAAUCUGAAGCACAAAGUUUCAGAAUUGUAAUCUAGAGUGUUUCACGAAAGGUGAGGUCUUCGCACAAGUGCCUGAAAGGGUACGUCAAAGAGGGUGAAAACCCCGUAGAGGGCGAUGGACCUGCUGGCCGUGGGAUUUCGAAGAGUCGGGUUGUUUGGGACUGCAGCCCUAAAUGGGAGAUAAACUUCUUCUAAAGCUAAAUAUUUAUGGGAAACCGAUAGCGAACAAGUACUGCGAAGGAAAGAUGAAAAGAACUUUGAAAAGAGGGUUAAAAGACUUGAAAGCGUUGAAAAGGAAGCGGUAGAAGAGAAUUAUUUGGGCGAGACGUUUGACGUGAGAGCACCGGCCAGCGUAGGGUGGAGUUCGUAAAAGGCUUGCCUGGCGUUUGGUAACGGGGAUCUGCGGCUUUUUCUCGUUCAAAAGACAAAAUGAGGUCCCGACUGCCGGAGACACUGCGUGGUGAAAGCCUAGCAAGAAUACGGCGGCGUGGGCCUGAGGGUCCGAAAGGAGAUUUUGUCAAAAUGGCUUCUACCGACCCGUCUUGAAACACGGACCAAGGAGUCUAAC